rnacentral:rRNA from 1 species
AGCUCUUGACAUGUCCCGUGUGGGUGGGGGAGACCUCAUCCUUCGGUUCGGCCGGCGGGAACACAGGUGCUGCAUGGCUGUCGUCAGCUCGUGUCGUGAGAUGUUGGGUUAAGUCCCGCAACGAGCGCAACCCCCAUCUUCAGUUGCCAGCGGUUUGGCCGGGCACUCUGAAGAAACUGCCGGUGACAAGCCGGAGGAAGGCGGGGAUGACGUCAAGUCCUCAUGGCCCUUAUGGGCUGGGCUACACACGUGCUACAAUGGCGGUGACAGAGGGGAGCAAGGGUGCGAGCCCGAGCCAAUCUCAAAAAACCGUCUCAGUUCGGAUUGCUCUCUGCAACUCGAGAGCAUGAAGUCGGAAUCGCUAGUAAUCGCGGAUCAGCACGCCGCGGUGAAUACGUUCCCGGGCC